AUUGAACGCUGGCGGCAGGCCUAACACAUGCAAGUCGAGCGAGCGGCGGACGGGUGAGUAAUGUCUGGGAAACUGCCUGAUGGAGGGGGAGAACGACGGGAAACGGUAGCAAAUACCGCAUACCAUCAGAUGUGCCCAGAUGGGAUUAGCUAGUGGGUGGGGUAAUGGCUCACCAUGGCGACGAUCCCUAGCUGGUCUGAGAGGAUGACCAGCCACACUGGAACUGAGACACGGUCCAGACUCCUACGGGAGGCAGCAGUGGGGAAUAUUGGACAAUGGGCGCAAGCCUGAUGCAGCCAUGCCGCGUGUGUGAAGAAGGUCUUCGGGUUGUAAAGCACUUUCAGCGGGGAGGCGUUACCCACAGAAUAAGCACCGGCUAACUCCGUGCCAGCAGCCGCGGUAAUUC
rnacentral:rRNA from 1 species